AAUCAACGCUGGCGGCGUGCCUAACACAUGCAAGUCGAACGCGACUGGGGCUUCGGCCUCAGUUGAGUGGCGAACGGGUGAGUAACACGUGGGUGACCUACCUUCGAAUGGGGGAUAACGUCCCGAAAGGGACGCUAAUACCGCAUAACAUCCCGCCUUUGAACAGGCGGAGAUCAAAGCCGGGGAUCGCAAGACCUGGCGUUUGAAGAGGGGCCCGCGUCCGAUUAGCUAGUUGGUGAGGUAACGGACUCACCAAGGCGACGAUCGGUAGCCGGCCUGAGAGGGC
rnacentral:rRNA from 1 species